rnacentral:rRNA from 1 species
AUGGCUGGACGCCGCCGUCUGCACCUACAUGUGUUUCUGCGCCCCCUGCCGCCGCCAGCGCCGUUCGCUCCCCCCUCCUCCCUUACCCUCCCACCUCCUCCCCUCGUUUCUUCACCACGGCGUUGUGGCGCAGUAUCGGGAAGACUUGGCUGUAGGUCGUGGCGCAACUACAUGGUGCUCAUCGGCGCGACGACUUCGUCAUCAACAGCACGCUGUGGCGGGUCAUGCUCGGCACCACCACGCUCGUCGGCCAAUCCAUGGCAAGGCGGCGGCGUCAGCAUGAGGCGUAGCAGAUGUAUGAGGAUGCGUGGAAGGCCAACAUCCCAGACUUCAGGAUUCUUUGUUCCAUCGAGGACACCAUCACAGAGGAGACGACACAAUCAUGAAGGGGGAGAAACCAAGCAUGGCGAACCACCCAUGCCAAGUUCACCGCAGGAUUUACAACCCCAUCACCCAUGA